AACGAACGCUGGCGGCAUGCCUAACACAUGCAAGUCGAACGAUCCCUUCGGGGAUAGUGGCGCACGGGUGCGUAACGCGUGGGAACCUGCCCUUAGGAUCGGAAUAACUCAGAGAAAUUUGAGCUAAUACCGGAUAAUGUCUUCGGACCAAAGAUUUAUCGCCUUUGGAUGGGCCCGCGUUGGAUUAGCUAGUUGGUGGGGUAAAGGCCUACCAAGGCGACGAUCCAUAGCUGGUCUGAGAGGAUGAUCAGCCACACUGGGACUGAGACACGGCCCAGACUCCUACGGGAGGCAGCAGUGGGGAAUAUUGGACAAUGGGCGAAAGCCUGAUCCAGCAAUGCCGCGUGAGUGAUGAAGGCCUUAGGGUUGUAAAGCUCUUUUACCCGGGAUGAUAAUGACAGUACCGGGAGAAUAAGCCCCGGCUAACUCCGUG
rnacentral:rRNA from 1 species